UGGCUUUACCUGAAGACGGUGCGCUAACCGCAAGGAGGCAGCCAACCACGGUAGGGUCAGCGACUGGGGUGAAGUCGUAACAAGGUAGCCGUAGGUGAACCUGCAGAAGGAUCA
rnacentral:rRNA from 1 species